GCCGCAAUAGCUCAGUGGUAGAGCACUUCCAUGGUAAGGAAGGGGUCGAAAGUUCAAUCCUUUUUUGCGGCA
rnacentral:tRNA from 1 species